UACGGAGGGGGCAAGCGUUAUCCGGAUUUACUGGGUGUAAAGGGAGCGUAGGCGGCGAUGCAAGUCAGAAGUGAAAGCCCGGGGCUCAACUCCGGGACUGCUUUUGAAACUGUGUUGCUAGAUUGCAGGAGAGGUAAGUGGAAUUCCUAGUGUAGCGGUGAAAUGCGUAGAUAUUAGGAGGAACACCAGUGGCGAAGGCGGCUUACUGGACUGUAAAUGACGCUGAGGCUCGAAAGCGUGGGGAGCGAACAGG
rnacentral:rRNA from 1 species